rnacentral:rRNA from 1 species
AUUGAACGCUGGCGGCAGGCCUAACACAUGCAAGUCGAGCGAGAGGCGGACGGAUGGGUAAUGACUGGGACACUGACUGGGGGAGGAGGAUAACUAACGGAAGCUGUAGCUGAUACCGCCUACAUUCGGCUGUGCCCAAGUGGGUUUAGCUUGUGGGUGGGGUAAAGGCUGACCAAGGCGACGAUCCCGAGCUGGUCUGAGAGGAUGACCAGCCACACUGGAACUGAGACACGGUCCAGACUCCUACGGGAGGCAGCAGUGGGGAAUAUUGCACAAUGGGCGAAAGCCUGAUGCAGCCAUGCCGCGUGUGUGAAGAAGGCCUUCGGUUUGUAAAGCACUUUAAGCGGGGAGGCGUUACCAGCAGAAGAAGCACCGGCUAACUCCGUGCCAGCCGCCGCGGUAAUAC